rnacentral:rRNA from 1 species
UGGAGCAUGUGGUUUAAUUCGACGCAACGCGAAGAACCUUACCAGGGCUUGACAUCCCCUGACCGCGUAUGAAAGUACGUUUUCACCCUCGGGUGACAGGGAGACAGGUGGUGCAUGGUUGUCGUCAGCUCGUGUCGUGAGAUGUUGGGUUAAGUCCCGCAACGAGCGCAACCCCUACGUUUAGUUGCUAACGCGUGAAGGCGAGCACUCUAGACGAACUGCCGUUGACAAAACGGAGGAAGGUGGGAUGACGUCAAAUCAUCAUGCCCCUUAUGUUCUGGGCUACACACGUGCUACAAUGGCCGGUACAGACGGACGCAAAGCCGCGAGGUGGAGCAAAUCCUAAAAAGCCGGUCUCAGUUCGGAUUGCAGGCUGCAAUUCGCCUGCAUGAAGUCGGAAUCGCUAGUAAUCGCAGGUCAGCAUACUGCGGUGAAUACGUUCCCGGGCCUU